GGAAAGAUGAAAAGAACUUUGAAAAGAGAGUUAAACAGUACGUGAAAUUGUUGAAAGGGAAACGAUUGAAGCCAGUCGUACCUGCGGAUAAUCAACCUUUAGAUGCGAUUUUGUGGAGUGUGAGGAGCUAAUCGCCUUCAUGCCUGUAUAUUCGUGUACUUGGGGUGUACUUAUUCGUGAGGUAAGUUAACAUCAAUUUUGGUGGUCAUAAAAUGACUGGAGGAAUGUAGCUUCGAUCUCGUAUUGAAGUGUUAUAGCCUUCGGUAGAUGUGAUGAUCGAGAUUGAGGAUUGCAACGGAUACCCUUCGGGGCUACCUGUCUGGUCUCUGAUCGUUGCUCUGGUGCCGAAAGCUUGCUUACGGUUAUCAAAGUCGAUGGUCAAUAGGUUAGAACGGGUUAAAUUCGUUAAGGAUGUUGACGUAAUGGCUUUAAACGACCCGUCUUGAAACACGGACCA
rnacentral:rRNA from 1 species